UCCGUGUCUGCUAAGGAUAUGAGGUGUAGUGAUGGCACAUUAACGAUAGGACCCAUGACAGCAGCUACGGAUGAUCCCGUGGGUUUGAUGGGGUCGUGGAUCAGACAUAUCGCUGUGGCACAGCGACAUCCGCUUCUUUUUUCAGCGAGCCAUUACAUCAGCCCUGGAGCGGCAGACACUCCGCAGCUUACAACUGAAAAUAAAGGACAGCAUUAAAAGCUAUUCGGUAAGCCACUGUAAAAUUGAUCAAGCUAUAAAAGCUGCUACGUCCUUGCCUCCCUCUGCUGUCCAGCCGCUCCAAACCCAAAGAUAGCAUUAUGAUUGUGGAGGAGAGAAGAUGGAUAAAGAACUACAGAAAAGAAAGACACCAAAACUGAGAAGAAAGCUAGAAAAGGAGAUAAAA